UGUAAAUCUGACAACAGUGUAUAGUGCAUAAAAAAUUCAUUCCUGUUUACAAAUAAUUGAUCACAACCAGUUACAGGUUUCAUUGUUCCUUCUCCACUUCCACUGCUUCACUUGACUAGCCUUAU
ensembl:misc_RNA Y_RNA Y RNA